rnacentral:rRNA from 1 species
UACGUAGGGGGCAAGCGUUGUCCGGAAUCAUUGGGCGUAAAGAGCGUGUAGGCGGCCCGAUAAGUCCGCUGUGAAAGUCCAGGGCUCAACCCUGGAAUGCCGGUGGAUACUGUCGGGCUCGAAUCCGGAAGAGGUGAGUGGAAUUCCUGGUGUAGCGGUGAAAUGCGCAGAUAUCAGGAGGAACACCAAUGGCGAAGGCAGCUCACUGGGACGGUAUUGACGCUAAGACGCGAAAGCGUGGGGAGCAAACAGG